GUGCUCACUUUGGCAGCACAUAUACUAAAAUUGAAAGGAAACAAAGAAGAUUAGCAUGGCCUCUACGCAAGCAUGACAUGCAAAUUUGUGAAAUGUUCCAUUUAAAAUUUUU